AAUGAACGCUGGCGGCAGGCCUAACACAUGCAAGUCGAACGGAUCCUUCGGGAUUAGUGGCGGACGGGUGAGUAACGCGUGGGAACAUACCCUUUGGUACGGAGUAGCCUCGGGAAACUGGGAGUAAUACCGUAUGUGGUCGAGAGACGAAAGAUUUAUCGCCAAAGGAUUGGCCCGCGUUGGAUUAGGUAGUUGGUGGGGUAAUGGCCUACCAAGCCGACGAUCCAUAGCUGGUUUGAGAGGAUGAUCAGCCACACUGGGACUGAGACACGGCCCAGACUCCUACGGGAGGCAGCAGUGGGGAAUCUUAGACAAUGGGGGAAACCCUGAUCUAGCCAUGCCGCGUGAGCGAUGAAGGCCUUAGGGUUGUAAAGAUCAUCCAGGUGGGAAGAUAAUGACUGUACCACCAGAAGAAGCCCCGGCUAACUCCGUGCCAGCAGCAGCCGCGG
rnacentral:rRNA from 1 species